rnacentral:lncRNA from 1 species
CCUCUGCCUUCAUUACUACAUAUUCAUUUUCUUUUACAUUAUUUUUUAACCAAUCAGACAAGCUAAUAAUCAUUGGUAUCUCCUUCUCAGAUGAUUCUUUUGUCACAGUCUGAAUCUUGAUUAUCUCAAAUUUUGUGUUUUUUGUAGGAUAAUAUUUUGAAAACCAAUCUGACCCUUCAUUCUUGUCUUGUAAACCAACAUCAAUAAAGACUCUUCUUGGGUAACUUUCAAGGGAAACACCCAUUAAAUCUGGUAAAUAACGAGUCCUUUUUAGAUAUCUACUUGAUUUUCCUGAUGCUGCUCUUGGUGGUUCAAGUAGUACAUCUUCUAGAUUCUUUAGUGCUGCCUCUUUUGCAUUUGUUUUCUUCGCUUUAGGCCUCCGAUAUUCUAAAUCACCUGGUCUGAUCAAUUUGAAUUUGUGCAGGCUUGGCCGACUAAGGGAAGUAAAGUAUUUCCUACCAAAAAGCUUUUCAUUCUCAAGGUUUGGACCCGAAAUCUCUCUUGCAUUUGUUGUAAGAGU